GGGUUUCCCCAAGGAUUUAGCCAGAUUUAUGGGAAAACCCUAAAUCUGAGCAUUGCCAUGAGCCUAUUGUUUAUACUUAACCUGUUGCCAUUUAACCUGCUCAGCAAAAUGAACUGAUGUCAUCCUCAUGUGGCUCUGUUGGGAGGUAAUUUAAACUUCCCUCCUCUAACCCUGAUCUGGUAUCUUCCUGCUUAAAAAUAUUCUUCAGUGGGCAGCCAAUUCAUCUUAGAACUUGCAGUUCUUCCUGUGAUAGUACCAGCACCCCCACCGCCCCUACCCCACAAAAUAAGGAUCUAUCUGGUUCAAUAGAUGACUUCCCCAUGGGGACAGAAGGAGCUCUGAGUCCUGGAGUGAGCACAUCAGGGAUUUCCAGCAGCCAAGGAGAGCAGAGUAAUCCAGCUCAGUCUCCUUUCUCUCCUCAUACCUCCCCUCACCUGCCUGGCAUCCGAGGCCCUUCCCCGUCCCCUGUUGGCUCUCCCGCCAGUGUUGCUCAGUCUCGCUCAGGACCACUCUCGCCUGCUGCAGUGCCAGGCAACCAGAUGCCACCUCGGCCACCCAGUGGCCAGUCGGACAGCAUCAUGCAUCCUUCCAUGAACCAAUCAAGCAUUGCCCAAGAUCGAGGUUAUAUGCAGAGGAACCCCCAGAUGCCCCAGUACAGUUCCCCCCAGCCCGGCUCAGCCUUAUCUCCGCGUCAGCCUUCCGGAGGACAGAUACACACAGGCAUGGGCUCCUACCAGCAGAACUCCAUGGGGAGCUAUGGUCCCCAGGGGGGUCAGUAUGGCCCACAAGGUGGCUACCCCAGGCAGCCAAACUAUAAUGCCUUGCCCAAUGCCAACUACCCCAGUGCAGGCAUGGCUGGAGGCAUAAACCCCAUGGGUGCCGGAGGUCAAAUGCAUGGACAGCCUGGCAUCCCACCUUAUGGCACACUCCCUCCAGGGAGGAUGAGUCACACCUCCAUGGGCAACCGGCCUUAUGGCCCUAACAUGGCCAAUAUGCCACCUCAGGUUGGGUCAGGGAUGUGUCCCCCACCAGGGGGCAUGAACCGGAAAACCCAAGAAACUGCUGUCGCCAUGCAUGUUGCUGCCAACUCUAUCCAAAACAGACAGGGCCCUUAAAUGGAAAUACAACUUGACUUUGGAGGUGGCUUUGAGGAAGGCAAUACUUAAAGGACACAGCAGGGCUCUGCUUCAAAGAAUUGUACCCUUUGAAAUUGAGCUAUUGUGGCCGGGUGCGGUGGCUCACUCUUGUAAUCCUAGCACUUUGGGAGGCUGAGGCAGGUGGAUCACCUGAGAUCAGAAGUUCAAGACCAGCCUGCCCAGCAUGGCGAAACCCCAUCUCUACUAAAAAUACAAAAAAAUAGCCAGGCAUGGUGGCGGGUGCCUGUAAUC
rnacentral:sRNA from 1 species